CUAACGACGAACGCGUUUCGACGACCGUCGGUCAUGCGUCGGUCAUGACCGACAAUGUCGUUUAUGACCGACAACUUUUAUCGAGGUACCCCGGGUAGGACGAAAACGUUCUACCGACAACUUUUGAACCGUCUGAUUGGUCAGCGAAAGAAGUAAUAGUUUAUAGGUUAUCAAGAAAAGUGUCUCGCCUCGUGUCAAGUGUAAUAGUUUAUAGGUUAUCAAGAAAAGUGUCUCGCCUCGUGUCAAGUGUAUGUAUGUAUGUACAUACGCGCUAGAGACGUAAAGAUACACGCACCAGGUACUUAUACUGCAGUUUGCCUGGCGAAGGGCGUGCUGAAAGGCCAGCGAAUACCAACAAAAAUUGGUCAUUAUCAAGAGAAACGAUAGUGUCUCGUGCCAAGUGUACGCACUACAGACGUAAGGAUACACGCACCAGGUACUUAUACUCCAAGUGUGGUUGCAGUUUUCCUGACAAAGGAUGUGCUGAAAAGCCAGCGAAUACGUAAAUAGUUAGCACUGCAAAGAAAAUGGCACACGAGUUUCUCGCUUGGGAACAUUUGUUGUUACAAAACAGAGUUAACAAUAUGGAACGUCGUGUACAAAGAAGGGAGU